rnacentral:rRNA from 1 species
GAUGAACGCUAGCGGCAGGCUUAACACAUGCAAGUCGAGGGGUAUAGUUCUUCGGAAUUAGAGACCGGCGCACGGGUGCGUAACGCGUAUGCAAUCUACCUUUCACAAAGGGAUAGCCCAGAGAAAUUUGGAUUAAUACCUCAUAGUAUAGUACUUUGGCAUCAAGGAACUAUUAAAGUCACAACGGCAAAAGAUGAGCAUGCGUCCCAUUAGCUAGUUGGUAAGGUAACGGCUUACCAAGGCUACGAUGGGUAGGGGUCCUGAGAGGGAGAUCCCCCACACUGGUACUGAGACACGGACCAGACUCCUACGGGAGGCAGCAGUGAGGAAUAUUGGACAAUGGGCGCAAGCCUGAUCCAGCCAUGCCGCGUGCAGGAUGACGGUCCUAUGGAUUGUAAACUGCUUUUAUACAGGAAGAAACACUACUUCGUGAAGUAGCUUGACGGUACUGUAAGAAUAAGGAUCGGCUAACUCCGUGCCAGCAGCCGCGGUAAAG